ACAAGUGUGGUGUAGUGGUUUGAGUGUUGGAUUAUUAUUCCAGAGAACAGAGUUCAAUUCCCCACUUGGC